AAUAGAGGCGGCCCGAGCCUCGCGCUCGCUCUCUCCCCGGGUCGGGGCUGCCGGGCGCCCGGGGGCGCAGAGGGGGAGCCCUGGGGAAUCGGGGAGCUGUGCAGCCCAGGAGAGGGGAGGCGAGCUGAGGGGUGGGCACAGGAAGACUGACACCCCAAGACGAAGUUUAGAGACACUCGCCGGAAGAAGGCAGAAAGCAUCCAGACGUGAGGAGCGUUUAAAGAUGCCCGGGAGCCGGAGAAAACACAUUCAUUCAAGGAGCCUGAGACGUAAUUAAAACCCCUGCUUGCCAGGGAGAGGAGCUAAGAGUGGGACUGUUCCCUCGAUUGUGAACCAGCGCAGGGGCCAAAGAAUAGACUCAUUUAGCGAAAUAUCCGCCCAGUGCUGUGCUGGAUCUGGCUUAGGACUUCGGGAGGGAGCCACUGAACCGGCCUCUAAGCCCCGCUAGCCCGCUUCUGGUGGGGAAGAUUUCGGAUCCGCUGCCCCCUGUCAUACUUCCUACCCACUUAACCCAUGUUGGAAUCUCAAUCCUCUCCCUGCCCUCCUCUCUUUCGCUGUCUCUAGGCUAGCUUUUUCUCUCCAUCCCCUGGAGAGGAAGGAAAGUUAGUACCACGCCAAGCAGAGGAGCUGAUCCACCCACCCCACAAGCUCCUGACCCUUCCCACCACUGACCCCAACAUAAACCAGUCCAGAGUCAGACGUGAUCAGAUUCAAGCUGAUGAGCCUGGGGUGUGAGGGGUGGAAAGUGGGAACAUCAGGUAGAGAAAGAAGCGAGAGGAGAGCAGCCAAGUGAGUGGGCAGCCACGCUGGCCCCUGGGAACCAAGGAAGAGUAAAGGUUUGGCCCACUGAAAGGGAGAAAAGAGGGAGAAAGGCAGGAGGAGCCCUGCCUUCCAGGAGAGGGGCCCUCUCAUCCAAUAAAUUACUGAGCUCAACUAUUCUUUGCUCUUCCCACGUGGAUUUUCUGAGGAUCGAUAGGAGAAGUAAUACACUACCUGCAGUAUUUCUUGUGCAUGAUCAGAACAUCUCAUCUGCAUAAUUGGCCUCGGGGAGAAAGAUCAAUAUAAAUGCCCAUUAUUGGCCUACUUGAUCAGCUCUUCUCAGCAAUACAAGGAUCAAGACAAUUCCAACAAACUUAAGAUGG